GUUGCCUGUGAAACGAAUCUAAGUUCACUCUUAACUCUUCUCCAAGGAAACCAAGAACCCUAAUGAAGCGAGUUAAGGGCUAUUUAAAGGAGGUACAGCUCCUUUAAAAAAGAAUACAAUCUCCACGAGCGGAUAAAUAACCUAUGUCCUAAAUACUGUGGGCCUUCAAGCAGCCAUCAACAAAGAGUGCGUUAAAGCUCGGCACCUCAAAAAUACCAACACUAUAUGACUCCCUCAUCACUAACAGGCUAACCUAUAAAACAAUAGGAGAAUUAAUGCUAGAAUGAGUAACCAGGGUUCUCCCUCUUCGACGCAAGCUUACAUCUAUACAUUAUUAACAAGACACCCAUAUACGACAAAUCCAACAAGCAGAGUAUUAAUCCACCUUGUUAACCCGACAGAGGAGCGUCCACUAAGAAAGAUUAAAACCUGUAAAAGGAACUAGGCAAAAGUCAAGGCCCGACUGUUUACCAAAAACAUAGCCUUCAGCAAACCAAUAGACAAGUAUUGAAGGUGACGCCUGCCCGGUGACAUGUGUUCAACGGCCGCGGUAUCCUA
rnacentral:rRNA from 1 species